CCCGCUGAACUUAAGCAUAUCAAUAAGCGCAGGAAAAGAAACCAACAGGGAUUACCUCAGUAACGGCGAGUGAAGCGGUAAUAGCUCAAAUUUGAAAUCUGGCCCCUCUGGGGCCCGAGUUGUAAUUUGCAGAGGUUGCUUCGGUGGAUGCCCCGGCCCAAGUCCCUUGGAACAGGACGUCAGAGAGGGUGAGAACCCCGUGUCCGGCCGGUGGCGCUCCCCGCGUGAAGCCCCUUCGACGAGUCGAGUUGUUUGGGAAUGCAGCUCUAAAUUGGUGGUAAAUUCCAUCUAAAGCUAAAUACCGGCCAGAGACCGAUAGCGCACAAGUAGAGUGAUCGAAAGAUGAAAAGCACUUUGAAAAGAGAGUCAAAAAGUACGUGAAAUUGUUGAAAGGGAAGCGCUUGCGGCCAGACUCGCCCGCGGUUGUUCAGCCCGCCUUCUGGCGGGUGCACUCUUCCGCGGUCGGGCCAGCAUCGGUUCGGGCGGCCGGACAAAGGCCCGGGGAACGUGUCCCCCUUCGGGGGGUGUUAUAGCCCCGGGUGCAAUGCGGCCAGCCGGGACCGAGGAUCGCGCUCCGCUAGGAUGCUGGCGUAAUGGCCGUAAGCGGCCCGUCUUGAAACACGG
rnacentral:rRNA from 1 species